AUAGAAAGACCCAACUCUAAAACACUUCCUGCGACGAUCUUAGACUCCAACCAACACAGAAGACACAAUGCGUUCCAUCAUUUUUGCCCUUCUACUAAUGCUGUGCGUGAGAUCUGGCAGAUUUGCACCAUUUGGGAUCCACACUAUGGAUAAAAGGAGUCUAGAAACCUGCAAAAAUGUAAGGCUGCAGGCUGAAAGGAUAAUGGAAAUGUUAAUCGAUCAAAACGUAAGUGCGUAAGUGUGCCAUGAAUCUUAAUCUGUUUUUGGUUGGUUUAUAAUCUAACGCUAAUGCCAUUUGCAUAUACUCCAGUUCACACACACUCCAAGCAGCACUGCCUCUUCAGAAAGUGACUGUGGAGCCGCGAAGUGUGUAGUUUUACAGAAACUUGGUGAUUAUUAUAACUGCGAGAUGACAUUCCAGAAUAAUUCCACUAAAAUCAAGAAUGAAGUUCAAGGCCUAAUUGAUAACCUGCAGGUAAUGAAGUGUUGUAGAUGUAUGCAGUACAUAUGUAAAUUACACGAGUUACAAUGUUUCUUUGUAUUUGUAGAUGCUCAGAUGCUCAGAUGAAGAGAACACAUGCAAUUUAUCAGAUCCUUCAUGUCCCUCGGAAGUUCAAGAACUCUCUUUGUGGGACAAAACUAAAGUGUUUGUGGAUAAGGUUGUUUGGGCGUGUUUACAUACAAUGCAACACGUGUGUCCUAAGUUGUAAAAAGAAAAAAUUACUGGGAUAUCCUAACA